GAUGAACGCUGGCGGCGUGCCUAACACAUGCAAGUCGAGCGAUUCUCUUCGGAGAAGAGCGGCGGACGGGUGAGUAACGCGUGGGUAACCUGCCCUGUACACACGGAUAACAUACCGAAAGGUAUGCUAAUACGAGAUAAUAUACUUUUAUCGCAUGGUAGAAGUAUCAAAGCUUUUGCGGUACAGGAUGGAUCCGCGUCUGAUUAGCUAGUUGGUAAGGUAACGGCUUACCAAGGCGACGAUCAGUAGCCGACCUGAGAGGGUGAUCGGCCACAUUGGAACUGAGACACGGUCCAAACUCCUACGGGAGGCAGCAGUGGGGAAUAUUGCACAAUGGGCGAAAGCCUGAUGCAGCAACGCCGCGUGAGCGAUGAAGGCCUUCGGUCGUAAAGCUCUGUCCUCAAGGAAGAUAAUAGACGGUACUUGAGGAGGAAGACCCGGCUAACUACGUAGCCAGCAGCCGCGGUAACAACGAGAGUA
rnacentral:rRNA from 1 species